UACAGAGGGGGGAAGCGUUGUUCGGAAUUACUGGGCGUAAAGGGCGCGUAGGCGGCCUUCUAAGUCGCACGUGAAAUCCCCGGGCUCAACCCGGGAACUGCGUCCGAUACUGGAAGGCUAGAAUCCGGGAGAGGGAUGCGGAAUUCCAGGUGUAGCGGUGAAAUGCGUAGAUAUCUGGAGGAAUACCGGUGGCGAAGGCGGCAUCCUGGACCAUUACUGACGCUGAGGCGCGAAAGCUAGGGGAGCAAACGGG
rnacentral:rRNA from 1 species